GAACCUUUGGACGCAGAUUAAGAUUUCCAAGUCCAUAAAUUACAACACUGUAGUAAAUUUUCCCCAGUGUAAUAUUUCAACCCUAAUGAACAAAUCAAUAACAACUAAUGUGUUAACUUUUUCUUUUCCUAGACCAGAAAAAUGUUCACUAAAAUGUCAAGAGGAAAUGAUAAGGAUAUGUGUCGAUUUGGAUUGUUCAAUUUUAAAGCAUAUUCAUGAGUAUUUCCUGCACCCUAGUCUUGCACCAAAGACAAUGUAGUAAUAAAUUAUUUUUAAAUAAUACCAUCACACUUUUUUUAAAAGCUUUACAUAAUAGUUGCAACUCUACAUUUUUGCAAAAAAAAAAAAAAAAAAAAAAAAUUGGGAUAAAAAUUUCCAACAAUCAAUGUGGUAAAAUUUUUAGUCUACCUACAUGUAGACUAAAAAGGAGCUCAUGAGCCACAGGUAUAAAGGAGGGCUUGUAGUGAUUUGCAUGAUGAUUUGCAUAUCAUUUGCAAGUCAUUUGGGGCAGCUCCAUGAUGCUCUCACAAUUCCCCUGAAACCACCCUGGCCUCUUCACAUUUAUCUGCAUAAGGCGGUGGGUCCUCUCCCCUUGGGCCUCCCCUUUCUGUCCCCUCCUUCGGGGAGGCCUAUGUGGGAAUCUUGGCCUGAAGAGAUCCUGGAAGGCCACGCUGUCUGAUGGAUGGCAGGCCUUAAGCGUGACUGAGCUUUCACAGUUGAAACCAUUAAAGGUUAUUCUGCUUUUAAUUCUUUGUGGUCGUUCUCGCUCCUUCCUCGGAGAAACCUCUGAUUUUCACUUGCGAGGCGCUCGGCUGCGCUUGUCAUACCCUAAAAAGGUGAUUUCAGUUCUCUGAUGCCAAAGAACCUUUUCUGCUAAUCAAAACACAGCUGCGGAGGCCCGUGUGAUUUGCUAAUGGGCACCCCAGCUCUGGGGUAUGUCUGUCUGUACCUG
rnacentral:lncRNA from 1 species